CGAUGGGAGCUUGCUCCCUGAGAUUAGCGGCGGACGGGUGAGUAACACGUGGGCAACCUGCCUAUAAGACUGGGAUAACUUCGGGAAACCGGAGCUAAUACCGGAUACGUUCUUUUCUCGCAUGAGAGAAGAUGGAAAGACGGUUYUGCUGUCACUUAUAGAUGGGCCCGCGGCGCAUUAGCUAGUUGGUGAGGUAAUGGCUCACCAAGGCGACGAUGCGUAGCCGACCUGAGAGGGUGAUCGGCCACACUGGGACUGAGACACGGCCCAGACUCCUACGGGAGGCAGCAGUAGGGAAUCUUCCGCAAUGGACGAAAGUCUGACGGAGCAACGCCGCGUGAACGAAGAAGGCCUUCGGGUCGUAAAGUUCUGUUGUUAGGGAAGAACAAGUACCAGAGUAACUGCUGGUACCUUGACGGUACCUAACCAGAAAGCCACGGCUAACUACGUGCCAGCAGCCGCGGUAAUACGUAGGUGGCAAGCGUUGUCCGGAAUUAUUGGGCGUAAAGCGCGCGCAGGUGGUUCCUUAAGUCUGAUGUGAAAGCCCACGGCUCAACCGU
rnacentral:rRNA from 2 species